ACGAGGAAGAAGAGAAGCGAAUUUGCUGCUAAUAAUUCCUUUGAAAUAGAAACGUGUUCAUCCGCAAAAUUGGAAUUUUUCGGCCAUGGUUAUUUUCAAAACGAACGAAUGUUAAAAAUGGACCCAUGGAGACCUAAACGCUGCUGCACAGGAGGACAGUGAAGUGGUCGGAUUUCACUUGGGAGCUGCUUUCCUGAGACACAUUGACCUGCACGUGGCAACGAAAGCUUUUGCGUUAUUUAUUUAUGGAUUGAUACACACCAAGGUUGCUCUUCCAAGGAAUGGUCUCAUCAACAAUGUGACCAUUGACCGUCUACUAAACAGCACUGUGAGAAAACCCUCAGCUACUUCACCUGAGGUAAUUAUUAUCCCACUUAUGUUUGCUGUCAUUUCUUUUAGAGGAUUAAGUAUUUUUGUUUUAUUAAUUUAAGUUGAAUGUAUUUCUCAGAUAGCUUCACCAUGUCAAGCAGCGUUUUCUCAGUCCUGUUCCUGGGUAUUCCUUAAUCUACACAUAUAUAAAUAGAUGUUGAAAUAUUUUCUUUUUAAGUGGUUUAUUUUUAUCCACAGUAUGCGUGUCACAAUGUUCAACUUUAAAGUCUACGUACAUUGUAUUCUUGACAGCUGCAUGUAGGUUAUAGUAGCUGUGAUUAAGCAAAUCUUUUUAAACUUGGUUUCACGUGGAUAUAUGAUCACAGCUGUUGCAGUGCUCUGCAGAUGUCAUUAUAAACGCUUUUUAAAGCCAUAACCAAACAAAAUGUCACAAUACCGUCGCUCUUCCAUCUUUGACCUGGUACAGGUACACAGCCUAUGCCUGGCUUAUAACAUGCACACCCGGACAGAAUACAAAAACUCUUAUGUCUAAGAACUUUUAGGUCAGAAACUGACUAUAAUUUGUUAUGACUGAUGUGGAUUUUCCUCACUGUUGAUUAAUAAAAUGUAACUUUUAAAUAAUUGUGUCAAACCU